GACGACGCUGGCGGCGUGCCUAAUACAUGCAAGUCGAACGAGUGGCGGACGGGUGAGUAACACGUGGGAACCUACCCCUCAGAGGGGGAUAACACUUGGAAACAGGUGCUAAUACCGCAUACUGAUGGAUGGACCCGCGGUGCAUUAGCUAGUAGGUAGGGUAAUGGCCUACCUAGGCGACGAUCCCUAGCUGGUCUGAGAUGUGGACCAGCCACACUGGAACUGAGACACGGUCCAGACUCCUACGGGAGGCAGCAGUGGGGAAUAUUGCACAAUGGGCGCAAGCCUGAUGCAGCCAUGCCGCGUGUAUGAUGAAGGCCUUCGGGUUGUAAAGUACUUUCAGCGGGGAGGCGUUACCCGCAGAAGAAGCACCGGCUAACUCCGUGCCAGCAGCCGCGGUAAUUC
rnacentral:rRNA from 1 species